UGAAUACGAGACGCUAAGGCGUCGAAGUAGUGUAUGUCAUACUUCCAAGAAAAGCUUGCACUGUCAUAGAUAAAAAACGCCUGUACCAUAACCGACACAGGUGGGUAGGUAGAGUAUACUAAGGGGCGCGAGAUAACUCUCUCUAAGGAACUCGGCAAAAUAACUCCGUAACUUCGGGAGAAGGAGUGCCUUAUUCGUAAGGUUGCAAUAACAAGAUCCAAGCAACUGUUUAUCAAAAACACAGGUCUCCGCUAAGUCGUAAGACGAUGUAUGGGGGCUGACGCCUGCCCAGUGCCAGAAGGUUAAAGAAGUUGGUUAGCAAUUGCGAAGCUGAUAACUGAAGCCCUGGUGAACGGCGGCCGUAACAAUAACGGUCCUAAGGUAGCGAAAUUCCUUGUCGGGUAAGUUCCGACCCGCACGAAAGGCGUAAUGAUUUGGAUACUGUCUCGGAGAGGGGCUCGGUGAAAUAGACUUGUCUGUGAAGAUGCGGACUACCUGCACCAGGACAGAAAGACCCUAUGAAGCUUUACUGUAACUUGAAAUUGAAAUUGGACUUUAUUCGCGCAGUAUAGGUGGGAGGCGUUGAUUAUAAUCUUGUGGGAUUAUUGGAGCCAUCAGUGAGAUACCACUCUUGUAAUGUUAGAUUUCUAACUUUGAAUCAUUAUCUGGUCAAAGAACAGUUUCAGGCGGGCAGUUUGACUGGGGCGGUCGCCUCCUAAACGGUAACGGAGGCGUACAAAGGUUUCCUCUGAACGGUUAGAAAUCGUAUCUAGGGUGUAAAGGCAUAAGGAAGCUUGACUGUGAGACCUACAAGUCGAGCAGGGACGAAAGUCGGUCUUAGUGAUCUGACGGUACUGAGUGGAAAGGCCGUCACUCAACGGAUAAAAGUUACUCUAAGGAUAACAGGCUGAUCUCCCCCAAGAGUUCACAUCGACGGGGAGGUUUGGCACCUCGAUGUCGGCUCAUCGCAUCCUGGGGCGGUAGUACGUCCCAAGGGUUGGGCUGUUCGCCCAUGAAAGCGGUACGCGAGCUGGGUUCAGAACGUCGUGAGACAGUUCGGUCCAUAUCCGGUGUAGGCGUUAGAAUAUUGAGAGGAGCCUUCUUUAGUACGAGAGGACCGAGAAGGACAUACCUCUGGUGUACCAGUUAUCGUGCCAACGGUAAACGCUGGGUAGCUAUGUAUGGAGUGGAUAACCGCUGAAAGCAUCUAAGUGGGAAGCCCACCUCAAGAUAAGUAUUCUC
rnacentral:rRNA from 1 species